rnacentral:lncRNA from 1 species
AGAACUGGCUUACAUCUGUUCAGCUAAUUCCUGAUUCAUAUGUGGAUUUCCUUUAUGAUGAUUUGACAGCCUCUCUGUGGUGAAGGAGUUAGUGUAUUAUCUAAGCACAGAAAAAUGUCUCCACUCCAUUGGUUGGGUGUGCCAGUUCUUUCAGCUGUUGAAGAAACAGGACUCGAGGGGGAUUGUUUAGCAGUGACAGCAUGGGUAAGUGCUGGCAUCAGGUGCCACAGCUUCUAUUCUGGGCCUUCUUGAUUGUUCCUUUAGGUGACUUUCUCUGGACUGUCUUUGUCUGGUUUCUAAAGAAACAGACUGUUAUUUGGAUGAGCAGAAUCCCUUUGACCAUUUCUAGGGUGAUGCUGCCUUAAGCUUCUAGACUUCUAAACUAUCUCCAUAGGUCUGGCGGAGUGAGGUGAGCUGUCAGUGGCCUUUGGUGCAUCGGUACUUCUUCAUUUUUCUUUUUACUAGUUUGAAUUGUACACAGGGACUACACCAUGACUGUGCUUGAUUCAUAAGUAACCUGAUCACAAUGGGGGAAGCCCCAAGGGUUAAUGCUUUAAAAAUAAGUCCCAGGAAACUGAAAAGUGCUUACCUUGGUGAGGACCUGUGCUUGUAUCAUUAACCAAGAAGAGAUUAUUCAGUUCUUGGCUCCUGGCUGCCAGAUCUUUCUGUGAAUACAAUAGUGUCCUUAGUGCACUUCAGUACAAUAAAUUACGUUGAAAUUUCUGACAAACACCCAAUGUGUUUUGUGCAUAUAGGCCUCAUGGAAGAACGAGCUUGUUUAGUAUACCACUCACUAUGAGGCACAAGAAUCAGGGAAAGUCCUGUUCUUCUCAAAUGUUAAUGCAGAAAGAUUGCAGAGAAUAGGGUUGUAGAGGCAAUGAUUCCCCCAUAGGCCUGUCUUCAGAUACCUUUUCUAGAAUUGUUAUAAUAGAAAUGUGGUGAUGCUUUGCUUAUAUUUUAUUCAGUUAUCUUCAUUUCUGCUGCUCUGUGACAAUCCAACAUUCACUUCUGUCCUUUAAACAAACUGAAGAUUGCCUUGCCGAGUGGACAGGAGUAUAGCCCCAGGGCUCUUCUUAAGUCAUCCCUUCCCAUGGAAAUGCAUUCCAGGUUUUCUCAUUUGGGUACAGGCUCUUCUCCUACGUUUCAGAACUGUGUUUUGAUUGGCGGUUUAUGAGGAAGCUGGGUUGUCCCCAUUGACUACUUUGUUCUUUUGGCAAACAGCCAUUAUCCCAAAUGGAAUAUUUUUCUAGUAGUUGAAUGGCACCUUUUCACUCUCUGUUUGAGAAGAAAAAAACAAAAC